ACGUAAUAUUUUGACAUUUAAUAUGGGACGGAGGGAGCAGGUGAUGUGCUGUUGGAAGCAGAUUAUGGAACAAAAAUUCAGGUUUUAGUUUCUAGAUUUCCUUUUUCAACAUAGAGUGCAAAAGUUAUUUUUUUCCUUCAAAAUUUUAGAUGUACAGAAAGGGGACACGAAUACGCGCAUGAGUAAUUCUUUUACAUUGACAUUUUCUUUACUUUUUUUUUCAGGUACGGUAGACAUUUUCUUUACUUGAGAGCGCGUGCUCAUGGGUGCAGAUUUUUGAAUUACCCUGUUAUAUGGGUGCCCAAAUUGCUAGUGAAUGACACGAGAAAUUCUAAAGUUUUUCUUUUGUAUGCAUAUAAGUUUUCUGGAAGAAAUAGUUAAGCCUUUGGCAAAAAAAGAAAACUCAGUGCUCUAAAAGCAGUUCUUAAGUACUCCGUACUAGAUUUACUUAUAGUGCAAAAAAAAAUCUCAAAAAAUUUAGGUGUAGAGAAAGGGGACACCGACAGG
rnacentral:lncRNA from 1 species